CAUUGAAUAAAUGGCCUUUAGCCCCACGGCUGUGGUUUCCCCAUCUUUGGAAAGCAUUCAAGGUACCCCUCCCCCCCACUGAUUUGUUAGUAUUUUAAGUCCACAAGGAAAGAAAGAUGCUUUGAAAAUACAGAAUGCAGUGUUUUCCAUUCAGACCCUAGGGUCCCUUGCCUGAGCGGACAGGGUGCUUGCUGCCUUUGCAGGAUGCUGUUUUGGCUGAGGCUGGGGGG
rnacentral:lncRNA from 1 species